GAAAUGCGAUACGUAAUGUGAAUUGCAGAAUUCAGUGAAUCAUCGAAUCUUUGAACGCAAAUUGCGCUUUUGGGUCACCCUGAGAGCAUGCCUCGUUCAGUAUCGUUUCUACCCAUCUCUAAAAGCUUUGCUUUUGGGAAAAUGAAGUGUGUUAAGUCUUGUACUUAACUCCUUUGAAGUCUAUUGAGUUUUGAUCUUUGGUGUUCCUUUACUUUGGUAAAGCUUUUGAACUCAGUCUCAAUGGAGAUACUUGACCUUUGUGUCAUUCUCUACAUUGAUUACGGCUGGCAACAAGAGAGUAGCAUCGAAUUUUAAAGACUUGUUGAACCUUGCAUCUCAUGCAAGACUUUACUUAACGAUCUGAUCUGAACUGAGGUAGGAUUACCCGCUGAACUUAA
rnacentral:misc_RNA from 1 species